UUCAUUCCCUAGUUAUGUCACUGUUUUAUUUCGGAUAUUGAUCUGUUUAGAAAUGCAUCUUGCCACCUAAUAUUUAAUCGCACUAGAUCUACUCAAUUAUUCAAUUAAUAUUUUCGAAAUGUAAUUAUGAAUUAUCGUUGUUGUUUUUAUUUCAUUCAGGAUCAGUGCAGUAGGGCCGGGGAGGACUAUUGAUCAGUUAAAAAAGAAGUGGACGGAUUUAAAGUCUGCAGCAAAGAAGAACGAGAUAAAGCGGAGGCAUUUUGCUGCCGGGACAGGUGGGGGUCCUGCGCCCCAAGAGCCAACUGAUGUAGAGAUGAAGAUCCUGAGUGUAAUCCCCGAGGAAAUGGUAACAGGGGUUGCUGGUGGAGUGGAUGUUUUCGAAGACUCAUGCAAGCCUCCUGCUGUCAAAAAGUAUAGGCCAUCUGAGCCUUCAGGGUCAACUUUCAC